rnacentral:rRNA from 1 species
UACGGAGGGGGCUAGCGUUGUUCGGAAUUACUGGGCGUAAAGGGUGCGUAGGCGGCGUGCCAAGUCGGGCGUGAAAGCCCUGGGCUCAACCCGGGAACUGCGUUCGAGACUGGCAUGCUGGAGUCCGGGAGAGGAUGGCGGAAUUCCCAGUGUAGAGGUGAAAUUCGUAGAUAUUGGGAAGAACACCGGUGGCGAAGGCGGCCAUCUGGACCGGCACUGACGCUGAGGCACGAAAGCGUGGGGAGCAAACAGG